rnacentral:rRNA from 1 species
CCUACGGGGGGCUGCAGUAGGGAAUAUUGGGCAAUGGAGGCAACUCUGACCCAGCCAUGCCGCGUGCAGGAUGACGGCCCUCUGGGUUGUAAACUGCUUUUAUACGGGAAGAAAAAAUACUACGUGUAGUAUACUGACGGUACCGUAAGAAUAAGGAUCGGCUAACUCCGUGCCAGCAGCCGCGGUAAUACGGAGGAUCCAAGCGUUAUCCGGAUUUAAGGGGUUGUAGGGGUGCGUUUAAGGAUUUUUAGAAAGCCUGCAGCUUAACUGUAGAAUUGCCAUUGAAACUGAAAAUCUUGAAUUUGGUUAAAGUAGGCGGAAUGUAUCAUGUAGCGGUGAAAUGCUUAGAUAUGAUACAGAACACCGAUAGCGAAGGCAGCUUGCUGAACCAAUAUUGACGCUGAGGCACGAAAGCGUGGGGAGCGAACAGGAUUAGAUACCCGUGUAGUC